rnacentral:rRNA from 1 species
AGAGUUUGAUCCUGGCUCAGGAUGAACGCUAGCGGGAGGCCUAACACAUGCAAGUCGAACGGGAUUGGUAGCAAUACCAUGAGAGUGGCGCACGGGUGAGUAACGCGUAUGCAACCUGCCUUUAACAGAGGGAUAGCCCAUAGAAAUGUGGAUUAAUACCUCAUAGUCCUGAUGAGCUGCAUAGUUUAUCAGGUAAAGCUCCGGCGGUUAAAGAUGGGCAUGCGUGACAUUAGCUAGUUGGUAAGGUAACGGCUUACCAAGGCAACGAUGUCUAGGGGUUCUGAGAGGAUGAUCCCCCACACUGGUACUGAGACACGGACCAGACUCCUACGGGAGGCAGCAGUGAGGAAUAUUGGUCAAUGGGCGCAAGCCUGAACCAGCCAUCCCGCGUGCAGGAUGACGGCCCUAUGGGUUGUAAACUGCUUUUGUACAGGAAGAAAAAUCUCUACGAGUAGGGAACUGCCGGUACUGUACGAAUAAGCAUCGGCUAACUCCGUGCCAGCAGCCGCGGUAAUACGGAGGAUGCAAGCGUUAUCCGGAUUCAUUGGGUUUAAAGGGUGCGUAGGCGGUUAUUUAAGUCAGUGGUGAAAUCCUGUCGCUCAACGAUAGAACUGCCAUUGAUACUGAAUAACUUGAGUACAGUUGAGGUAGGCGGAAUGUGUAGUGUAGCGGUGAAAUGCUUAGAUAUUACACAGAACACCGAUUGCGAAGGCAGCUUACUAAACUGCAACUGACGCUGAUGCACGAAAGCGUGGGGAUCGAACAGGAUUAGAUACCCUGGUAGUCCACGCUGUAAACGAUGCUCACUCGCUGUAUGCGAUAUACCGUAUGCGGCCAAGCGAAAGCAUUAAGUGAGCCACCUGGGGAGUACGAUCGCAAGGUUGAAACUCAAAGGAAUUGACGGGGGCCCGCACAAGCGGAGGAACAU